rnacentral:lncRNA from 1 species
UCCCCCUAAUGGUGGCCAUGUCAUCUUGGUUACUAUGCAAAUGGCCACUUGUCCAGAAUCAAAGUCAAAUUCAAAUUUGAAUUACAAGUGAAAUAAUUAUUUCUUCGAACGGUAAAAAUAAAGUGUUCACAAUAUUUUAUAAAUUUCCCUGAUCUUUGUCAUGUUGAACCAAACAUUAUUUGACCCACCAAUUGGUCCCUAGGGAUUUAUAAAGUGGUUUAACAACAAAUAAAAAUAGCCUUUCAAAAUAAACAAAUAUUUAUACUUUUCCUCUUGACCUCAGACUUUUGAGGCCUCUACAAUAUAUUUCCUAAUAGUUGUGUACGCACUUUUACAUUUAACCAAAUUCAUCUCCUAGCUAAUGUUAAAAGAAAACAGUAGAGAAAAAUAAAAAAAUAGAAAAUGAAAAUAGAAAAGUUCCUAAAACUACUAGGCCAUUGGGCCAUAAGUGACCACAGUGCCUCCGGCCCAGCCCACCUCCACCUCCACCUCCACCUCAUCCCUCCUCUUUACAUGGAGGCAGGAGACGUGCGUGUCGCACAUCCACGGUCACCAUGGCCAUGGAUGGCCUCCACGUCGAUCUCCUUGGCUUAUAAUCGCCCCAUAGCGAACCCUAGCCCGCUCUCCUCCGUUCCCCUCUCAUUCCCCACCGAGCCGCCUCCUCUUUUGCUUGGGCGCGAGCUCGAAAGGUCCCGCGGUGACCGUGUCAGUACGACACUGCCUCGCGCCAUUGCCGCGGCCGCUGACCUCCCCAAACACUAGGAAGACGCCCAGGAGCCUCCCCGCCGUCAUCUCCUUCGACUACGCUACCGGAUCGAGCGGCGUAACUCUCGUGCGCUCGCCAUCGCCGUCGUCUUCGUUGGGUACAUCGCCGGCAUUCGCCGUCGUUGCCCACCGCUCUGGUUCGUCCCCGGCCACCCCAACCACGUCCCCGAGUUUGCUGUGAGCUCCUCUCCCGUUAUCCCUCUUUUUCCUCGACUCAAUUCGUGCCGUAGCCGUUGUCCACGAGCUCGUCUUCGCCGCGUCCGCGUGCGCGCCCGCAUGCUGCUCUUGCCCCGCUCCCGUGCGCCCCUGGCCGCCCUUUCCCGCACCGGGCGCGCCCCAGGCCGCGCCCUCGCGCGCGUAUGUCCGCCCGGGCCGUGCCCCUNNNNNNNNNNNNNNNNNNNNNNNNNNNNNNNNNNNNNNNNNNNNNNNNNNNNNNNNNNNNNNNNNNNNNNNNNNNNNNNNNNNNNNNNNNNNNNNNNNNNNNNNNNNNNNNNNNNNNNNNNNNNNNNNNNNNNNNNNNNNNNNNNNNNNNNNNNNNNNNNNNNNNNNNNNNNNNNNNNNNNNNNNNNNNNNNNNNNNNNNNNNNNNNNNNNNNNNNNNNNNNNNNNNNNNNNNNNNNNNNNNNNNNNNNNNNNNNNNNNNNNNNNNNNNNNNNNNNNNNNNNNNNNNNNNNNNNNNNNNNNNNNNNNNNNNNNNNNNNNNNNNNNNNNNNNNNNNNNNNNNNNNNNNNNNNNNNNNNNNNNNNNNNNNNNNNNNNNNNNNNNNNNNNNNNNNNNNNNNNNNNNNNNNNNNNAGCUCCGGCACCACCGCCCAGCCGUGCCCCAACUGCCUCUCCCUUGCUGCGCUGGGCCAUGCCCCGACCCCACGGCCACACGCCCACGCGCUGGCCUCGCUGGCCUCACCCGCCUCGCGCGCCCUGCCGCCUCCCACCUGCGCUCCUCCUUGCUGCCGUGGCCGCCGGCGCCCCGGGCCACCGUCGUUGCCUGCGGGGGCAAUGAGCGCUGCUUGGUGGUCGUGGCUGGCUUGGGCCACUACCCCAUGGGCCCGACCCCAAUUAGUUUAGGGGAUAACCCCCAAUCAGUGUUAAUUCCCCCUCCUAAUUAAUCUAUGACAUAUGGGCCCCAACGCCCUAAAAAUAAUAAUAAAAUUAAUUAAUUGGUAAUUUGAUUAAUUAACUUAGUUAAUUACCUAAUUAACUAACUAAUCAGUUAGUAAAUUAAUUAAACUCUCAAUGACAGGGGGCCCCAUCCCCUGUUGACCAGUCAAGCAUUGACUGGUCAACUGGGUCCCCCUGGCCCACAUGUCAGCCUCUGUGUACACUGUUGUGUACACAGGGUUGGGUGCAUUUAGCAUUUAAUAUUUAAUUUCAGAAAUGAAUUAAAACUUUGAAAAUUAAUAUAAAAUCAUCUGUAAGUCGGAUGAAAAUAAUCUAUAUAUGAAAGUUGCUCAGAACGACGAGAGGAAUCUGGAUACGCAGCCCGUUCGUCCGCCAUGCAUCCCUAGCAUAGCGAACACGCAACUUUCCCUCUCCGGUUCAUCUGUCCGAAAGUGUGAAAUACCGGGGAUACAUUCUCGGAUGUUUUCUCCCUUCGCCGGUAUCACCUCAUACCGCGUUAGGACACCCCUAGCACCGAUACUUGUCAUGUCAUGCAUCGCUAUGCAUCUGUUUGCUUAAAUAUUUAUUGUUUCUUCCCCCUCUUCUCUCGCUAGACACCGAGACCGACGCCGCGGCUACCCGGUACGACUACGGUGUUGACGACCCCUCUCUCUUGCCAGAGCAACCGGGCAAGCCCCCCCUUGAUCACCAGAUAUCACCUACUCUCCUCUAUACUGCUUGCAUUAGAGUAGUGUAGCAUGUUACCGCUUUCCGUUAAUCCUAUUCUGAUGCAUAGCCUGUCAUUGUUGCUACAAGUGUUGAUACCUUACCUGCAAUCCUAAAUGCUUAGCAUAGGAUUCUAGUUUAUCAUCAGUGGCCAUACAUUCUUGUCCGUCUGCCACACUAUAUUAUCGGGCCGUGAUCACUCGGGAGGUGAUUACGAGUAUAUACUAUAUACUUUAUACAUGAUACAUGUGAUGACUAAAGUCGGGUUGGCUCGAGGAGUACCCGCGGUUGAUUCAUGAAUUGGGGGCUGGAAGGACAUACUUUCCCGACAGCCCUCUAUGUGGAUCUUUGUGGUGAAGCGACAGGGCAAGUUGAUACCACCUAGGAGAGAGGUGGGCCUGGCCCUGGUUGGCGUUCGCAGUUAUUUUAAGAUAACACGUUUAACGAGAUCUUGGUAUUUGAUCUGAGUCUGGCCACUGGCCUAUAUGCACUAACCAUCUACGCGGGGACAGUUAUGGGCACUCAACAUCGUGGUAUCAGCCGAAGCCUUCGUGACGUCAGCGACUGAGCGGCGCGCGUCGAAUUGGACUGGAACACCUGCUAGGCUAGGUCUGCUUCCGGCCGCGUUCGCAACGUGCAGGUGUGCAAAGGGCGAUGGGCCCAGACCCCUGCGCCAUAUGAUUUAGACCGGCGUGCUGACCUCUCUGUUGUGCCUAGGUAGGGCUGCGACGUGUUGAUCUUCCAAGGCCGGGCAUGACCUAGAAAAGUGUGUCCGACCAAAUUGGAUUGAGCGUGUUGGGUUAUGUGGUGCACCCCUGCAGGGAAGUUAAUCUAUUCAAAUAACCGUGAUCUUCGGUAACAGGACGACUUGGAGUUGUUCCUUGACCUUAUGACAACUAGAACAUGAUACUUAAUAAAACACACACUUUCAAAUGUCAGAUACAACCGGUGAUCGCUCUCUCACAGGGCGACGAGGGGAGGAUCAUCGGUUAGGAUUAUGCUAUGCGAUGCUACUUGGUGAACUUACCAUCUACUCUCUUCUCUUGCUGCAAGAUGGAGGUUACCAGAAGCGUAGUCUUCGAAAGGACUAGCUAUCCUCCUUUUAUUUCGGCAUUCUGCAGUUUAGUCCAUAUAUGAUAGCCUUUUCCAUUUGAUACCAAUGCAUACAUAUGUAGUGUAGCUCCUUGCUUGCGAGUACUUUGGAUGAGUACUCACGGUUGCUUUGCUCCCUCUUUUCCCCCUUUCUAUACCCGAUUGUUGCGACCAGACGUUGGAGUCCGGGAGCAAGACGCCAUCGUUGACGACGACUCCUUCUACGCUGGAGGUGCUUACUACUACGUGCAGCCCGCCGAGGACGACCAGGAGUAGUUUAGGAGGAUCCCAGGCAGGAGGCCUGUGCCUCUUUCGAUCUGUAUCCCAGUUUGUGCUAGCCUUCUUAAGGCAAACUUGUUUAACUUAUGUCUGUACUCAGAUAUUGUUGCUUCCACUGACUCGUCUAUGAUCAUGCUCUUAUAUUCGAGCCCUCGAGGCCCCUGGCUUGUAAUAUGAUGCUUGUAUGACUUAUUUUAUUUGUAGAGUUGUGUUGUGAUAUCUUCUCGUGAGUUCCUGAUCUUGAUCGUACACGUUUGCGUGUAUGAUUAGUGUACGAUUGAAUCGGGGGCGUCACAAGUUGGUAUCAGAGCCGACUGCCUGUAGGAAUCCCCUUUCCAACUCCUUGGCCAAAGUCGAGUCUAGUCAUUGAAAAACUUUUACUAACAUGAUUGUGUGGCUUACGGGCCCACGUCGUCAUUGGGUGGUGUUAGGAUCUUUUACUCCUUGUCUAUACUCUGGGACUCUGAUCUCUCUUCUAUUCGGGUUAAAAUGAAUUUGCUAACUCUGACUCUAGGUUCUCGUAACUACUUUCUUCCGGAGAGCCCUUAUCACAAAUGAUUGCCUGCUGCACUAGAAGAUUUCGAAGAUACUUUACGAUGUUCUCCCGAGACACUUGUGCCUACCGUCUUGCAAAUUCCCUACCACUGUUAUUUCCUUAUGGAUAACUGCAUACACCUGCCAUUCUUACAUUCAAUUCCAUUGAUCUUGUUAUUACAAGGUGCAACGAACUGCUCUUCGUUGUUCCAAGAAUCCUUUGAGCUUAUUGCCUUGCAGUUCUUUACCACCUGAAUACCCCUAUGGAUAAUUUCUCGCACUUAUCGAGUAUCCGCUCAUCCCCAGUUGAUUCAGGUAUUUCACAAAAGUCUUCGAAAUGCCAUUCGAUCAUCCGAAAAUCUCGAGCAGCCAAUUCCUCUUGAAAGUCUUGCUUGCUUGCAUUAUGGUUAAUCCCACAAGUCUUGUAGUCUUAUUGGCAUCCCUUGUCAUUAUCAUUUUGAGUCUGUUGACUCAAUAUGUUUGCGAAUACACGCAAUCAUCAUUGAUCCUUAUAAAUUACCUUUCCGGCUGAGCUGCCAUUCUUUUAACUGGAAUUGGUUCUCGACCAAUCCAAUUGCCGUUGAUUGUACCCAAAGGCUAUUCAACUUAUCCAUCCCUGUCGGCGUUCUGGGAACGGGGGUCCCCAGACUUGCCUGCCUGCGGCCUGCGGUGUGGCUCAAAGGGGGCCCAGCACGGCCCGUCUUCAUCAACACAGACCCAAGACCCUCGCGAGGGGCCAAGCCUCGCGGGGCGGACGACACGGAGCUUCCUCAGGCACGGCCUCAUCAGGCUGGCUCGCGAGGAGGCGGAGAGAUCAAGGCGGGGUACCUCAUGAGGUGCCCGUGACGCAAGCUAUGAUGACCAAGGGUGCCAGGCGGGCGCCAGCCCGCGCAGUGUACUCCUUUCCUCUUUGGUGCAAAGGGAGCAAGCGCAGGCGAGAGCAUCAAGCAAAGGCACCCGUUUCGGUGCAAUGAGACCAAGACCGGCCCAACGGCAGGAAGGAAGUCAUUGUGGAGCCCAAGCCAGCGUCACCACCAGAGCCUUUGGCAGACGAGGACCAACUUUAGUCAGGAUAAGUGUACCAGAUGUUCCCCUUCAAAAUGGCCAAUUGUUGGCGCCCUUCCCACUCAAUAUUUGGGAAGAGGCCCAGGGCCUUUGCCUAUAAAUAGGACUAGCCACCCACAGGGUAGAGUAAUCGAAAUCGAAGAGAGAAUCGAGAAGAGAGAGAGAGAAGGGUGACUGAACUCCUCCUAGCAGUUCAUCCCCUCAGCCAAGAACAGACCCUCGCGAGGCUGUUCUUCCUUGUAUUGCUCAUCAUCAUCAGCCCAAGAGGCAAUCCACCACACCACACACUGGAGUAGGGUAUUACAUCACAACGGUGGCCCGAACCAGUAUAAACCCUGUGUCUCUUGUGCUGUUCUCUCCAUAGCUUAGAUCUUAGCGAGGCGGAGGGGUGCAAGUAGGUAGAAGGCGAAAUCUCCGCGCGCACCCCAGUGUUCAAACCUCAAGGGUCUGCUGGAACCCGAAAUCCGACAUUUGGCGCACCAGGUAGGGGUGCGCCAGAAUCCACCUUCUACCGCUUCGUGUCCCGUCGCGUCGUCAUCACCAUGUCCGGCGACCAGGCGGGCAACCCAGAUCCUUGGGCGGCGUGGCCCGCCAGCGCAGAGCCGCUCGCCUCGGGCGACCCCAUGCCCCAGGCAGCUCGCGGUCCGCAGGGCGCUGCAGGCCGCGGGUGACGCAGACAGGCUUCGACAACUCUCACACCGCGGCAGGCGCGGUCGGCAGCAAGGGCCUUCAAUCACGCCGCGACCACGACACCGUACACCCGUCGGGAGCAGGCGAACUCGAGGGCCGCACUCAUGGUGGCCCGAGAGCUGCUGCAGUGCAGGCUGCUGAAGGGCGGCCGCGACGUGCCGCUGGAGCGGGUGGCAGAGCUCCUGGGCUUCGCCGCCUCGGGGGCUCACCCCUUCUGCACCCAGCUCCCAUCUCAAGCCCAGGGCGGCCCGCGCGGGGGCUCCGCGCGCGCCCGCGUGGUCCAAGGCUACUCCAACGCCAGCGAAGCUGUCGACACCGGACCGGCGGCGGCGCUGCUCCCGCUCCCGGUCCGCGAAGAAGGACUCGACGCGACCCACGGCCCUAGUGGACAGCCGCGCUACCACCCCACGGUGGGCGCGUCAAGCAGAGCUGCAUGGCACGCGGAGCACUACGGCGUGGCCUUCGGGAUGACGGCGCCAGAAGAAUACGUGCCCCACAUGAUGGACCAAGGGCACCCUCACGAGGGCGAACAAGACUCGCUCCUCAGCCCAAACUGGGGGGACAAGGCGCCAGAAGCUGAGCUCUUCCAGGAGCCCCGGGACGGUCCCACCGGCCACGCUGGAGGCAGCGAUUAUCGGGUACCGUUAAUUCCUCAGGAGCAGGCAUACGCUAAUCAUGGAUCGCAGGAGGUGCAGGUCGCCACAGCGAGCAGCUGCCCCGCUCCCACAGUCUCCUACCCCUCGGGAGGAGGGCGCAGGGGGCUGCAGGAGAGGGGCCGAGAUCCGACAUCACCAGCGCGGCGUUCGGAGUAAGGUGUUCUCAGGAGGUAGACCCUCUGCUAGGGAGGUGCCUCAGGGCCUGCCCCUGGCGGAGGACCCGUGGUCGUCGGGGGAACCGCUGGCGACCGCUCUACCCCAUCGGCGGCAUCCUGGUUUCCGGUUGUCGUUGAUGGCACUAGAGUGUGGCGCAAGGCGGGGCCCUCGUCUGGCGAUAUGAAGCAAGGCCGGUACCUGUGAAGAAGGCCCAGUGUCUGUGAAGCUCGCCGCCCCGUGACACUCUCACGUAAUAAUGAGUGGGGCUGUACACGCCCCGGAGUCUCAGGGGUGCCGGCCUCAGGCCCUGGGGCUCCCUCCCACGCCCAGUGGCAGCACUUAGCUCCGCGCUGGUGAGAAGAUGUCCAAGACUAGAUUAGGUGUCGGACGCGGCCUUUUGUCUGCUUUCAUUGCUUUUCCCUUUGGUUGUCACUUUCCCUCGCUGGAUUUAAGUUGGAUUCGAAUUUGAGAUUUGCGUGUGUUCGGGUAAGGGGUGCUGUCGGAUUUCGGGUUCCGGCAGACCUUUGAGGUUCGAACACUGGGGUGCGCGCGGAGAUUUCGCCUUCUACCUACCUACACCCCUCUGCCUCGCUAAGAUCUAAGCUAUGGAAAGAACAGCACAAGAGACACAUGGUUUAUACUUGUUCGGGCCACCGUUGUGGUGUAAUACCCUACUCCAAUGUGUGGUGUGGAGGAUUGCCUCUUGGACUGAUGAUGAUGAGCAAUAUAAGGAAGAACAGCCUCGCGAGGGUUUGUUCUUGGCUGAGGGGAUGAACUGCUAGGAGGAGUUCAGUCACCCUUCUCUCUCUCUUCUCGAUUCUCUCUCCGAUUUCCAUCCUAGCUUGUUUCUCUCUUGGCUUCUAGAUUCUCCCUUCUUGAUUGCCCCCUUACCCUGGGGGUGGCUAGUCCUAUUUAUAGGCAAAGGUCCUGGGCCUCUUCCCAAAUAUUGAGCGGGAAGGGCGCCAACAAUUGGCCAUUUUGAAGGGGAACAUCUGAUACAUUUAUCCUGACUAAAGUUGGUCCUCGCCUGCCAAAGGCUCUGGUGGUGACGCUGGCUUGGGCUCCACAAUGACUUCCUGCCGUUGGACUGGUCUUGGUCUCGUUGCACCGAAACGGGUGCCUUUGCUUGAUGCUCUCGCCUGCGCUUGCUCCCUUUGCACCAAAGAGGAAAAAAGGACACUGCGCGGGCUGGUGCCCGCCUGGCACCCUUGGUCGUCAUGGCUUGCGUCACGGGCACCUCGUGAGGUACCCCGCCUUGAUCUCUCUGCCUCCUCGCGAGCCAGCCUGAUGAGGCUGUGCCUGAGGAAGCUCCGUGUCGUUCGCCCCGCGAGGCUUGGCCCCUCGCGAGGGUCUUGGGUCUGUGUUGAUGAAGAUGGGCCGUGCUGGGCCCCCCUUUGAGCCACGCCGCAGACCGCAGGCAGGCAAGUCUGGGGACUCCCGUUUCCAGAACGCCGACAGUAGCCCCCGGGCCCAAGGCGCGCCCGGACUUGGCCGUGCAGGGAGGCGAAAAGGCAAGAGCGAAGCGCCGCGGGCCCUAACAGCCUGCGGCCUUGGGCGCCGCGUGGCGGUUGAUUGGACGUGGGCGCCUCAGCAACCGCGCGAGUUGAUAAGGGAGCGGCAUCUGCCUAGGCUUUGCUUUUUUUUGCUUUCUCCGGUUGCUGCUCAGAUCCCCUUUCUUGCGCCUCUCCUUCCUUCCUUCAAAAUUUCCAGAUCUACUCCGACCGCGUGACCUAGGAAGCCAUGGCGCCUCGUCAGUCCCCGGCCGGAGCUUGGUACUCGUCUGCCCUGGACUCACCGAACGUGUCGGAGGCGAGCCUCGCCUGGUUUCGCCGGAUGGCGGCGGCGCAGGGCAUCGACGGGGCGAAGGUGUUCAAGGCCGGCUCCGCCACCCCUGAGGGCCAAGGGAGCACCUGAGGUUCCAUCCGUGACAGCGCCUCUGCCCGCGAAGGAAGGUGACCGAGACGCACGGGCUUCUCCUGCCCGGUCGUCCUCGCGAGGCCUGGCUAAGCCGGCUGGGGCGAGCUCAGCCCCCAUGGCCCAAGUGACUUUCGAGGUGCCUUUGCCUGCUACCGCCACUACAGCCGUUGGGGCGCAGCAGGCUCCGCCUCAGGAUGCUGUGGUCGCGCUGCCGCUUCUCCUCCUACUUCACCGACUGCUGUCUCUCCGACUCCUGCCGUUCUGGAUCGUGCUGCUGCUGAGCUGGAUCGGCUGCGGCAGGAUCUUCUUGGUGCCGACCCUCGCUUGGUGGCCGGACGCUUGGAGCUGGCUUCAGGAUGGAUUCGCUCCGACGCUUCGAUUCGGGCGGCGCUGGUCCAGGCCUCGACGACUUGCGAUGAGGAGAGGCAGGCCGUCCUUGAGGCGAAGGCUGCUCGUGACGCAGCCCUGGGGGAGGUGGUUGAUGUCCGUGGUCGCUGCAAGGCGCUGGAGGACGAGCUGCAAGGCCUGCGGGACCGGCUCGCGAAAGAGGCCCGCCUUCUCCAAGAGCAGGAAGAAGGCGUGAAGGCUCGCGAGGCGGCCGUCAAGGAGAGGGAGGUCAAGCUCAGGAGGUGCCGUGACCGCCUAGGCGCGCUGGAGCAGGAGUUGGGGGCGAGGAAGGUCGAGCUGGACGACAAGGCCCAGGUUUUUGCCGAGGACCGCGUGGCCUUCGCGGAGAUGGAGGCGAAGGCUCGCUCCUCGCUGAGGAUGCUUUACGACAGCGGCCUGGAGAGCCCGCUGGCUGGCGCCGAGGACGGCCCCGCCAAGCUGCUUUCCUUCCUGGUUCGCGCUCUUGAAGAUGUCGCCCUUGGCCUUGGCCCCACGGCCGAGGCCGAGACGCGUGUCCUAUCUUCUGCAGCACUGACGCGGGUCCUCACCCACAUCUACCUUUGCGAUCCCGGCGUCGACCUCGACAGCCUGCUGGAGCCAGUAAGCGGCGAGCGUGCCGCUGCCGUUGCCGAGGCCGUGAAGGGUCGCAUGGAGGCUCUGCUGGGGAAGUUCCGGGCCUUCAGCACCAAGCCGAAGCAAGGCGCUGCCGACCCCGCUGCUUCAUGAGGCGAACCCACUUCGCGCUGCUCCACCGCCGACAAAUGACUCCGUUGUGGCUUAUGUCCUGCCUUUAAUUCCUGCACAUGUAUCAUGCCUCGGGGAGGCGUUUAAACUUGCGUUUGGCAUUGAGAUAACAGUGUGGACUGUAAUAUUUGCUUUUGAAUUCCUUAAAAUUUACGCUUUUCCUUCCUACUUGCUUAUGUCCUACGCCAGCAGAGCCCGGCCCCGUGCAUACCGCAGCCGCCGUUAGCCCCGACCGGAAACCAGGACGGGACCAAGGAGUGAGGGGCUACGUGACAAGUUAGGCUCCUGAGUCGCGAUGCUUAGGAGUCCCCCUUGGCGCACGAACAACAAGUAGGGAGGUGUGAUGUGGGUGGAUCUACCGUUCUACGUUUGCAAAGCCCGACCGCGCGCAUACCUCAACCGCCGUUAGCCUUUCGGAACUAAGGAGUGAGGGGCUACGUGACCAGUUAGGCUCCUGAGUCGCGAUGCUCAGGAGUCCCCCUUGACGCUCAAACAGCCUUCGUACCUUGGCUCCGCUCGGGGAGAGACGCGCGAUGAACCAGGCCCGGGGGGCCUGGCUGGGUGGCGUGCGUCUGGGCGUGACUCAUGCGCAGCCCCCGUGCCCAGCCCCCUCGCGCGGCACUCCCGAGGAGAGGCGUUACGAUGAGGCUAGACACUGAGCUCUAGGCUCCCUGAGAUUGAUGCGGCCCAGGGGCCACCCUCAGUUGUUUAUCACCAGCGUGGAGCAUAGCGCUUCCGUAUGUGUACGGGCAUAGCCGCUCCUCGGCAGUGUCGUCAGCCAGCGCGGAGCAUGGUGCUUCCUCUGGUACGUGAGAGGGGGCUCCCCUCCGGAAGGAGCCCCCGGGGCGUGUACAGCCCCGCCCUGACAUGUGGCUGGCACGGUAGGGCCUGGCGAGGUGUAUCUGGGCACCCGUGAGCCAGUGCGGGACUCACGGGGCCCUACCUCUAGGCGGGUUGCGCCUGGUACUGGGCCUUAUCUUGUGAUGUGUACCUGCAAAUUUGGUUAGAUGCCGGCACUCUACGUCCUCGGGUCCCGGCCCUCGAGCUGGUCUCAGCCGUCGCUGGUAUGCCAGGUCGCGAUGCCGUGUACAAGGCCAGAGGGUGAGGGCUGGAGAGCCAGUAAGAGCCCUGAGUCGCGAUGCUUAGGUACCCCCCUUUAACGUGCAAGUGGUCGGCAUGGAGAAGAAGAGGUGCCGUGGACCGGCAUCAAAUAAUCAAGCAUGGUGGGUCGAACGCAUAGGCAGAAAUAAACGCAAAAGGGAUACAUGCCGCUGGGUCUGGCCCGAGCGACUUGGGGAUGAUGCAGCCCGAGGGGCGCCCCCAACAAAGUAAGCUAACAACAUGAAAUAAAAGGGAUACAUGCCGCAGGGACGGACCCACGCGGCAUGGGAAUAAUGCAGCCCUGGGGGGCGCUCCCAGCUGGAAAUGAAAGUUGAAAGAUAUCACCUGAUGAUGUUGAGGACGAUGGAGUGUUGGUGUAGCAGACUCGGUGGGCUGCGGAAUCCGAUCCUCAUGAGCCCCCAGGCCCAGGGGCCUCGGGAGGCUCCGGAGGCACUGGUGGCUCCUCGCGGACCAUCUCCAUCUCCGUCAGGGCUGCGGAACGCCUGGCCUCUUGAGCCUCCAUGAUGCCCCUCAUGAGGUGUUGGUACGCGGCAGCCGUGUUCGGCAAGCCGUAAGGCAUGCAAACGUAGCUGUGAGGUGGACCUUCGCAGCGCCCCACUCGCGAGGGCCAGAGGCGCUCCAGAGAGGCGACUCGAUUGAACCCUGGUAUGUCGAUGCAGACGUGCAGCCCACCAUCCUCGCCUGGAUAGGGAGCCACAGCUGGUAGGCGGCGGCCGCCUUUCAUGACUCUUGACUCCUGUAGCUCCUGAAUGGCCUUGCUGACGAACUCCUGAGGGUCUGGCCCUCCUUGAGGGAAACGUGCUUCGAAACACGCCUCCAUGUGGUGCCCAAGCGCCUCUCUCGUGACCUUAGCCAGGUCGGUGGCCCUCCAGGGAAGAGCCCCCGAGCCCUGCCUGAGGAGGGCGUCGGGCGCGCUUUCCUAUGCGAUGGAAGGAGAUUCCCCCUGGGCAGGCGCGGGCCCUGAGGGGCCUGCCUCCUGAGGGGCCGGGCCGGACGAUGUCUUCUUCUUCUUGGGACGGUCUCGGGAAGCCUCCUGCUUCCGCGAUCCGGGUCUUCCAGUGAUGCGGCCUGAAAGGCUCGUUCCAGGGAACACACCGCGUCCUUCUUUUCACAGGGCAUCGUGAUGACUCCGCCACUUCCUGGCAUCUUGAGGACGUUGUAGCCGUGGUGAGUUACAGCCAUGAACUUGGCCAGCGCUGGGUACCCAAGGAUGGCGUUGUACGGCAGGCGAAUGUGAGCGACGUCGAAGUCGAUGAGCUCGGUGCGGUAGUUGUUGCGUGCCUCGAAGGUGACAGGGAGGCGGACCUGCCCAAUCGGGACUGUGGAGCCGUCGGUGACUCCGGAGAAAGGCUUGGUUGGCUUGAAUGUUUCCACGGACAGGACGUUGAGCCCUGCCCCGCCAUCAAUGGGGUUCCUGGUGAUCACCAUGUUGCUGAUGAUUGGGGAACAUAGCAUCGGGAGGACUCCGGCUGUGGCCGCACACUUGAGCUGAUCUGCUGAGCUGAACGUGAUGGCGCACGCCGAUCACCUGAGAGGGCGCGUGACUUCGAGUUUGGGGAGAACUGCAUUCAUUUCGCGGGCGAACUGCUUGAAGAUGCGUUGAGAGGCUGGGGCUUGAGCCCCGCCUAGGAUGCAGGCGAUCGCGCGCGGCUCCUGGAAGCCCCCAGCCCCCUCGUCCUGAUGGCGGUCCUCGUUUCUCCUUGGCUGCGGCGGCAGCGGAGGGAGGCCUGCGUUGCCUUGUGGGCGAUCCUCGCGAGGCUGAUCCCUCCAGUAUCCCUUGCGAGGCGGGUCUUGCCAGCGAUCCUCGCGAGGUUGAUCGCGCCACCCUUGGCGCGGGCCGCGGUUUUCCCAGCGUCCUGCGUUCCUUCCUCCUCCUCGACCGUAGCCCCGGUCACCGCGGUCGGGACGACGGCCGAUCCUUCCUUCUCGCACGGCUCAGAGCUCUCCUCCUUCAUCUUGACGCCGCACACGUCGUCGGAGAAGGCUGAGAUGAUGGCCUCCUCGGUCACCUUGGGAAUCUUGAGCCGUGCGUUGUUGAAGCGCUGGAUGUAGUUCUGCAGGGUCUCUCCGGGUUGUUGCAUGAUGCGGCGCAUGUCGCUCACAGCGGGUGGCCGGUCGCGAGUACCUUGGAAGUUGGUGAUGAAGUGGGUGCGCAUCUCGUCCCAGGAGGAGAUCGUGCCUGGAGCCAGGUUCAGGAGCCAGGUGCGGGUCCCGUCCUUGAGCGCCAUGGAAAACCAGUUCGCCAUGACCUUCUUGUCUCCGUUGGCAGUUUCGAUGCCCAGCUCAUAGAGCUCGAGGAACUCCGUAGGGUCGGCCGUGCCGUCGUAACGAGGAGGCAGGUCUGGCUUGAACUUGCCGGGCCACACGACGCUGCGUAGCUCGGUGGUGAAGGCCUUGGGUGACGGAGAGCUUGGUCUUGCAUGUCCCCAGGCGCUGCAGCUGGGAGCAGCGCGGGGUCUUGACGUGCGGGAGCAGGAGUAUGGUCGUGACGUGCUGGAGCAGGGAGCGCUCGGGCAGCUUCUUGCGGGCGAGGGACUUCUUGGCAGCUCUGCUCUUGCUGUGCUGUCACCUGACAGAGCGGGUUCCGCCCAGGGGCCACGCGCCUUGGAGCCACGGCGCCUUCUUGAGGAGGAGGCGGCUGGGGCGCCCACGGAGCUUCGUCGCCCGCGCGGGGCGGGGUGCGGUGCAGCGGAACGGAAGGUGCAGGAAAGCCCCCUGCGGCGCGGACGAGCUCGACGACGCGGUCGAGCCAUUCUUCGUAGACGUCGUCGACGGGACGGUAGCGCAGGAGCUUGUUUGCCGCGAUGAGCACAGCUCGAGCCUCCAUGGAUGCGCGGAGCGCGCGGGACAAAGAACCAGCUUGGGUGAGCGAGGGAGUAGCGGUGCAGCCGUCUUGCCGCACGGACGGAUACUGAGACGACGCUUGCUGCUCGUUCCCCACCGGGCCGGUGGCGGCAUUGACGGCAGGUGGCGGGGAAUGGCGAGGACGCCCGCCGACAGGAGCCGUCUGGGCAACGCGGGAAGCGAGAGCGGCCGGCGCUCGGCGCGGGCCAGAUGAGCGUCAGACAUGAACGCGAUGGCCGGAGAAAAACGGGAUGGUGGAAGAUGAAUUCCGGCGCACCCCUACCUGGCGCGCCAAAUGUCGGAUUUCGGGUUCCGGCAGACCCUUGAGGUUCGAACACUGGGGUGCGCGCGGAGAUUUCGCCUUCUACCUACCUGCACCCCUUCGCCUCGCUAAGAUCUAAGCUGUGGAAAAAACAGCACAAAAGACACAGGGUUUAUACUGGUUCGGGCCACCGUUAUGGUGUAAUACCCUACCCCAGUGUGUGGUGUGGCGGAUUGCCUCUUGGGCUGAUGAUGAUGAGCAAUACAAAGAAGAACAGCCUCGCGAAGGUUUGUUCUUGGCUGAGGGGAUGAACUGCUAGGAGGAGUUCAGUCACCCUUCUCUCUCUCUUCUUGAUUCUCUCUCCAAUUUUCAUCCUAGCUUGUUUUUCUCUUGGCUUCUAGAUUCUCCCUUCUUGAUUGCUCCCUACCCUGGGGUGGCUAGUCCUAUUUAUAGGCAAAGGCCCUGGACCUCUUCCCAAAUAUUGAGCGAGAAGGGCGCCAAUAAUUGGCCAUUUUGAAGGGAAACAUCUGGUACGCUUAUCCUGACUAAAGUUGGUCCUCGCCUGCCAAAGGCUCUGGUGGUGAUGUUGGCUUGGGCUCCACAAUGACUUCCUCCCUGCCGUUGGACUGGUCUUGGUCUCGUUGCACCGAAACGGGUGCCUUUGCUUGAUGCUCUCGCCUGCACUUGCUCCCUUUGCACCAAAGAGGAAAGGAGGACACUGCGCGGGCUAGCGCCCGCCUGGCAUCCUUGGUCGUCAUGGCUUGCGUCACGGGCACCUCGUGAGGUACCCCACCUUGAUCUCUCCGUCUCCUCGCGAGCCAGCCUGAUGAGGCCGUGCCUAAGAAAGUUCCGUGUUGUCCGUCCCGCGAGGCUUGGUCCCUCACGAGGGUCUUGGGUCUGUGUUGAUGAAGAUGGGCCGUGCUGGGCCCCCCUUUGAGCCACGCCGCAGGCCGCAGGCAGGCAAGUCUGGGGACCCCCGUUCCCGAAACUUCGACAGGUGCUUAGUCUCGUUCGAGCAAUUUCUCGCGUUUUGAUUACCACUUCGUCUCAGCUGCCUCCCCUCGUGAGCCCCUCGCAAGCCGGGUCAGGCCCAGCUUGCGCGCAGCCCAAACUGCCGCCGCCGCGUCCUCUCAGGAGGCUUUUUUACUGCAGAUUCUACGGAUUCGAUCAGGGAACACCCGGGACACCACAACCUCCCACAGGCUAUCUCAGGGCCCGCACGGGACAAAGGUAAACUAGCCGACCAGCGCGUCGCUUAAGCCAACCACUUGGCGCGGGUGCACGGGCAAUGUAACAUCUACUAAUACGACGAACACACGUUUUACAUGAGGGGCUCCCCCUCCAAAAUGCUCUCACAGCCAUCAGGCCAAAACUUGAGUUCUAUUCAUGCAGGGUAAGGAAGCAGGAACGAUGCACAAUCAGUCGGAUAAAUCCCCCAAUGCGUCCUCAGGAGCACCACCCGAACUGUUGCUGGCGUCGCUGGACUCGCCAUCGCUGUCUGCGUCGCUGCCAGCGGCGGUAGGGCCGUUCACCACACCGCCCUCGUCGGCAGCCACGAUCACGCCGUCAUUGUCUGAAGCGAAGGCCUUGACAAGAGCAUCCACAUUGUUUUCCACCCAGUGCGCCAGGUCGUCUCGGACGGCCUGGGGGACUGGGGCGAUGGCGGCGUCGAAAUUGAAGUAGGGAUCCAUGUUCCGGAGAUGGCUGAAGACGCGAGAAAAGGCGCGCCCGAGCAGGGCGCGGCUCCUCUCCUCCACCAACCUGUCAGCCCUGACCGACCGCGCCUCCAGCUGCGUCACCACGUCGGUGAAGAACUAAAGGUUGCCGGCGUAGUUGACUGCGUGCGGCUCGCUAACAGCCGCCUUGCAGAUGUUGCCCAAGACUGUGUUGGCUCUCUCCCGGAGCAUGGUGAGCAUGGGGCCGUGCUCAUGCUCCAGGAUCCACCGCUGACGUAUCUCGUCCGCAUUCUGGCGCGCGAGGACCUCAGCCUCCUCCACCUGCUGGCGAAGAAGGAGCACCUCGGCCUGGGAGGUGGUUGACUCCCCUUGCGCUACCUCAAGGGCGGCCCGGAAAGCAUCGUCCCGCCGCGUCGCUUCCUCCAGCUUGGCCCUCAACGCAGCAGUCCUACCUUCAGCCUCGGCCCGGAUCAACCCCAGCCUCUCCUCGAACUCGUGCUCGAAGUUCAAGCGCGCCAUCGCCACCCGACGUCCGGCCUCCUCCAGGACACGGGCUUCCCAUGCAGCGACAUCAUCCUUCGCCUGCGUCACCAAGCGCUUCCUCGUCUCCAGACGCUCGUACUCGCGGGUACGUUCGGCGGCUUCCAGCGUCAGCGCCUCCUCACGCUUUUGGAGCUCUGCUGGGUUGCCAGAGGCCACCUUCAUCGACGUGAGGGCUGCCUCGCGCAGCUCCACUUGCUCCUCCAGUGAGUGGCACCAGGCCAGGAGCUCCCGAGCCCGCUCCUCCGCCGCCUCUCGCCGCCGGUCAGCUUCCCGGGCCUCCUCAGCGGCCCAAGAUCGGACCUCCCGAGAGGCCACCAGCGACGCCUUGGCCUCUGCGUCGUCAAGAUCGCGCUGACGGCGCGCAAGGGCGAUAGCGCCCUUCAGCUCGCGCCUCUCUAUAGCCAGGCGCAGGCCCUCGGCCUCAAGGCGCGCGUCUUCAUCAGCAAGCUCCUCACCAAGCAGGCUCACCGCGUCAGCCGCCCUUCGAAGGAAUCCUUGACGAAGAGCGCGACGCUCCCGGGUGCGCUCGAGCACGUCUUCCACACCAUCAUCUGCCCCAAGCAAGUGCCGGGGGCCACGAAUCAGCACUCCCCCUCCGGGCAGGGGGCUGGGGGCUGGCACUCUCGCGACGGCCGGGCACGCCACGCCAGAAGCCCGGCCUGAAGCCAGCGCGUCCCCAGAUGAAGAGCGCAGGGAGCGCCUCAGCCAAUCGCAGUCCACGACCAGGCGAGAAGCCCGCGGCAGGUUGGCUAUGCCAUGAGAAGGCCCACGAAGGAGGAUCGCGAGGUGCGCAGGGCCUCGAUGCGCCUCGGGACGGUUUGCCUCUCCGAUCGCCCUCACCACAAGGGCUCUGCUGCUCGGAGCGCUUGAGAGCGAUAGAGGGGGCGAAGCCAAGGGGGACGGCACCUCAGCCAUCUCCGCGAGCUCGGCUGGAAGGGGCCUGCGGAGCAAGGAUCAGUAAAAGCAACAGAAGGAUUGAGAGCUGGAAAAGGAGAAGGCUUACUCAUCAGUGGCGAAGUACUUCCUACGCUUCAGCAGGCGACAAGGGUAAUCGUCGCCCAGGGCCUCCCUUCUCUUCCGGAGGGCCUCAAAGUCCACGCGGAAGCGGCCCAAGAGUUGAGCGCAGGGAUCUACCUGCGACGAGGACGAAGCGUCAAGGCGAUCCGCAUCAGGGGCGCCUGCCUGAUGCGCACUUCCAGUCGUCUCGCCAAGAGAAGCGGCUGGAGUGUCACACCCUAGCUAGUCAUGCAUUAGAGUGUUGCAUCAUGUUUACUCUUUCAUCAGAAACUUGAAAUGAGGAUGACAGAACCCCCAGUCCCCUCUGAAACCAACUAGGGUUACUAAAAUAAUUUUUCAAUGAACCUGAAAUGCCCUUCUAAAAUGCCCAUCAUUUUUGUCUUGGUUCAGAACCUCUGCCAAAAAUGGUGCACAUUUUCCUAGGCCAUCCUAGGGUUUUUGAAUUAAAUCAUAAAUAUUUGAAUUUGGGCAUUUAAAAUAAUAUAAAAUAUUUAAAUGCUCAAAUAUCUCCAAACUAAAAUGUUUCAUGUUGGAAAUAAUCCAACUAUGGGCCAGGAAUAGUUUGGUGAUUUUUGAAGUUGCCUAGGUAUUUUAUUUAAUUCAACAAAGUUGCAGAUAUAUUAAAUAAAAAUAGAAACAGAAAAAAAGGGGAAAACUUACCUGGUGCCACCGCAGGCCCACCAGCCAGCCCACCUGGCCGGCCCAGCCCGGCCACCGCUCCAGCGAGCUGCUUGGCUUGCCAGGCAGGCAGCCAAGGUGCUCGGCGGCGGCACCGCAGCUCGCCACGCAGCUGCACGCCGCCCGGCCUCCCCCUCUCGCCGCCCUGAUGGCCUGGACGAGCUCCACGUCGCGCCCCGACCCUCCUGGACACCUCCAUUCGCCCCCAGCUCCUCUCCCUCGCGCUCCCACGCCAUGGCCGACGCCACCGUCGCCGCACCACCGUCGUAGCCGUGCUCCCCGUCGUCUCCACGCCGCGCCACCCUGUCCAGAAGCUCCGCCGCCCUCUACUCCUUCGAGCUAGCCGAGCCCCGAGCGCUCGCGUGCCUCGAAGCCGCCGCACCAACCUCGCCCGAACCGCCAUCGCCGGAGAUCCCCUUCGCCGUCGCCGCCGCCGCAGCUCGUCCCCGACCACGCCGUCCUCUCCGUCAAGACCACAGUGAGCUGGGCUAACUUCCCCUUCCUCUCUUUCUCUCUCUCGAGCACCACAGCGAGCGCACCAAGCUCACCCGCACGCGCCGUCGCGGACCUCGUCGCCGACGUGCUUCCGGCCACACUCCGGCCACAAGAUGGUGUCCAUCUUGCUCACCGAGUCCCACAGCACCUAGCUAGCCACUCCACGAGCCUCACCGACCCCUCUAGCGCCAAGUUCAUCCUCGACCGAACCCCGGUGGCCGCCAAAGUCGUCGCCGGCGCCAACUCCGGCCACCCCGACCCCAACGGACUCCGCCAAGAGCUGCGGGUUGUCCUCAGCUCCACUCCGGUGGUCUCCGCGGUCCAUUUGGUGGCCGAAAUGGCCAAAACCACUCCCGCCGCCGCGUCGGGCUCGCCGGCGGCUAAACGCCGGCAGCCGACUUUGACUUUGACCACAGGUGGGCCCUGGUUGACUCCCCUGAGUCAAUGACAGGUGGGGCCCAGCCCUGUUAAUUAAACAGGAUUAGUUUUAAUUAAAUUUUAAUUAAAAUAAUCACCCUGACAUGCGGGACCCACUGUCAGGUUUGACCCAGACCUGUUCCGUUGACCUGCUGACGUCACACUGACGUCAGGCUGACGCAGUAAUUGAUUUUCUGGAUUUAAAUUAAAUCAGGAAAUUCCAGAAUAUUAUUUAAAACUUCAAAAAUUCAUAACUUUUAUUCUGUAACUCCAAAUUGGACAAAUUAUAUAUGAAAAAUGAUCAGAAAAAUCCAAUCUAUCCAUCUGUACUAUUUUCAUGCAUGAUCAAACAAGUUAAAUUGAUGUUUUAAGCAGAAUAAGGAAAAGCACUUAAAGAGGCCAUGUUUGAGUUUGAAAUUUGAAUCUUUGAUUCAAAUUUGUUCAAACCCUUCUGGUUUUAGUUGCAUUAGCCCAACACACUCAUAUUGCCAUGUUUCAUGCAUGCAUCAUAUUGUUGCACAUUGUUUGGUGAUGUUUGUGUAUCGAUGUCCUUUGCGGCAGGUUCUGCCCCCGAAGAAUACCGUGAUUACCCUAACGAAGAAUCAUAUCCGAGCAUCGAACCAUCAGGCAAGCAACCAACCAUUUGAUCAUAUCGAUACAAUCCCAUGUUCUCGCUCCUGCUCUCUUUUACUGCAUUAAGACAACGCGAUUCAAACUGCUGUGUGCUACGGUAGCUGAACCCAUUUCCUCUGCAUGACCUGUCAUUGCCACAGUAACUAGAUGAAACCCACUAGCAUGUGUAGGAGUUGAUUGAGCCAUAUGUAUGUGUUGUUCCUACCUUGCUAUGCCUGCUAUGCCUAGAGUCGUGUCAGGUCUGGUUCAUCUGGGUGAUGGGCUAGAGUGAAAUGAUUAUGUCGGUAAUGGGAGUGGUGUGGUGAACACGAUUUGGUAAAGGUAUCGAUGAGAGGCCAUGUAGGAGUACAUGGUGGGUUGUUUCAUUGAAGCCGACCUUAAGCACUGAGAUCUGUAUGUGUGAUUUAAGAUACAGCUACUACCAUGCAUUGGGCCCUGAAAUAUGACCCCGCUCGACUUCUUAUUCACCCUAGCUCUCUGUCCAGGAGUUGCAAGUAGUUUCUGGUGUUUGUAGCCUACUGGAGGCCGUGGACAGCGCUGACCGUAGGGGCGGGCUGUGAUGCGGUAGGUACGUGGCACGGUGUACCGAAUACCUGUUAGGUAUCCCGGGAACCCUGUUCACAUUGUUCGGGGCCGUAUGGGAAACCUCGGCCGGACUCCCUGCGGAUGGAACCUGAAUAGGCGAUAAACCUGGACUGGAGGCUUAGGUGAUUAGGUAGGUCGUGGCCGACACCCACGUUGGGCUUCCGCUUGAAGGUUGCCGAGUACAUGUCGUGUAAACGACGAUAAGUGGUGAGAGCGUGUAUGAAGGAGUACACCCCUGCAGGGUUAACAUGAUCUAUUCGAAUAGCCGCGUCCGCGGUAAAGGACUACUUGGUUGCAUAUACAGUUCAUAGACAAGUAAAUGGAAACUACUAAAAGCCUCAAGAUAAGUGUGAGUGCCGAGGAUGGCUCUUCCGUAGGAAGACGGAGGUGGAUCCUCGGUGGGGUAUUGAAGUGGUGAGUAGUGGACUCGUGUGCGCAAAACAUUUCAAGUUGGAGUAUCGUAGGAUAGCCUAGCCAAGAGUCAAAGCUGGCUUGCUGCAAUAACUCCACCAACCCUUCUUGAUACUAUGCAUGUAUGUAGGAUCUGAUGUAAGUCUUGCUGAGUACCUUUGUACUCAUGUUGCUAUAAUCUACAUUUUUACAGAAGACGCUGCAACCCCUUCUGAUGGGUUCUAUGUAGACGUUGACAUCAACGAAUAGGCUAAAGACCCAGGUGGUGACCCUGAGCUUGUGAUGGACCACGUAGUAUAGCUAGGCUUUCCAAGCCUCUUUUAUUUUACUAGUUGUCUGUACCCAGACAAUGUACUUCCGCUGCUGGCUUGUAUGACUGUAUGACUUGUAUGUUGGGUCGUGAGACCCGUACCUUUGUGUAUGUUAUGUAUGGCUCCCUGAGCCUUAAAUAAAGUACUUGUGUCAUAGAGUCAUGUUGUGAUGCUUCGUUGUAUUUGCACAUAUCGAGCAUAUUGUGUGUAUGAUUGAAAUGCUUGGUAUGUGUGGGAUCUGACUAUCUAGUUGUUUAUCUCUAGUAGCCUCUCUUACCGGGAAAUGUCUCCUAGUGUUACCGCUGAGCCAUGGUAGCUUGCUACUGCUCUGGAACACUUAGGCUGGCCGGCAUGUGUCCUUCUUCGUUCCUGUGUCUGUCCCUUCGGGGAAAUGUCACGCAUUGAGUACCGGAGUCCUGUUAGCCCGCUACAGCCCGGUUUACCGGAGUCCUGCUAGCCCAGUGCUACAGCCCGGACCCACUUGCUGAUGACCGACACGUUCGAAGCUGGGUCAUGGAUGCCUGUCCCUGUAAGUCUGUGCCACUUUGGGUUUACGACUAGCCAUGUCAGCCCGGGCUCCUUAUCAUAUGGAUGCUAGCGACACUAUCAUAUACGUGAGCCAAAAGGCGCAAACGGUCCCGGGAAAAAGGUAAGACGACACCCGUGGGGAUACCGUGCGUGAGGCCGCAAAGUGAUAUGAGGUGUUACCAGCUAGAUCGAUGUGACAUCGAGUCGGGGUCCUGACAGCGUUGGCAUCAGAGCCGGACUGCCUGUAGGUUCUCCAAGCCAAACUGGUCGAUGUUGAGUCUAGAAAUUCUUUAGUUAUAUGUAGGGGAAUUGUUUGUGGGAUGGAACGUAAGGCUCUUUUUACUCCUCUAUCUUAUGACAUUCUGAUCUGAGUCAGUCCAUUCUUCCACCGGGGGUUAAGGAAUUAGGAUCUAUUCUCUCUAUCAGGAUCACGUGUUACUAAUUAGUAGUACCUUAUAAGUUUGAUGGAUACAAGCCUAUUUCAGUUCUACUACCACAUUAUGUUGCCAGAAUGGUUUCAGAACUUUGAUAUGAUGAUGUUGAGUGUGUACGAAAUCCUUUGUCAAAUGUCUCAAAAUCCUUUUUGAGCAUUUACAGCUGUUAUGCUGCCGAAAUUUUGCUAGAAAUUCUAAUGCCUUGCAUUAUGAUUAUGCUUUCAGAUGGCCACUCGCGACCUUAAUCAAGUGGUUCGCCUGACUCGAUGCCUAGAUGUACCCGGCCAUACUGCCAAGUUGGUCAGGGUAAUGACUGAGGCUGGAUACCGCUGGUAUCCUGAGUACACGGUCGAAGAGCAAUUUCGAGACUUCAAUCAAAGCCAGUAUCUCUGCACUGUCAGGAUAUUUCCAUCUUAUCCUGGAUCCACCGAGCCUCUUCACUGCUCCUAUGGACUCGGGGUUACUAUUGAGAUGGCUGUGCAGGCCACCGUUUGUUGGUCCAAGGCCUCCGCCACUUGAGGAAGAGUCGCCUUGGCCGACUGGAAGGGCAGUCACCAUCACUGGGUUCUCGUGAGGCCCCUGGAGGCCGGCGGGGCGCGGCCCCCACUCAUCAAAGAUAGGCAUCUGAUUCACAAAAUCGCCCUUGUUCUGGCAGAGGUACAACAAGGCCCCUCCUUGUUGGAUGCUGCCAGGAUUGGGGUCCCCAGUCAGGAUCAAGAGCGCUGUCCUCAACACUUCGGGCGUCAGGUCCUCUUCCUGGAGCCUCAUAUGAUCAUCAUGCCCGCUGAAGGCCCACAUCCGGCGGGAGUGGCGUUGGAGAGGAGCAACGCGGCGUAGCAGGAACCCCUUCACCACCUUGGGCGCCGUCACGCCAAGCGACCUCAAGAACGCGAAGCGGUGCCAGACGAAGACGAGUCGGGGGCUCUCAAGCGUCUCCUGGCCCCAGCCCGAAUUGGGGACAACAGGCGAAGUUCACUCCGAUAGCAGGGGGCUGGGCACCCCUGCAUCCACAUACAGCCACUGCUCGCGGAACCCAGCCGCGGGCAGAGGGAGCCUGAAGUCAAUCCCUGAGGCCGUUGUCUCAGUCGCGGCAACGAAGCUCAUGCACGCCCAGCAUUGGGUAGGGUUGACAAGGCGCAGAGAGAAGAAGUGGCGCGGCAAGGCAACCGAAGGAAGGAUGCCCAUCAUUGCCUCGCAAACAAAGGCGAAGACCGAAAGGAGGAUGAUGGAUUCAGGACCCAGAUGCAUCAUGUGGAUCUGAUAGUGGGAAAGCACGGCAUUGAAGAAAUCAAAAAAGGGGGGAACCAGACCCGCCCACAGGGCGUCGGCAAAAUACUGGACCUCGGUGACUAUCCUGUCGAUGGAGAAGUGGGACGCGGGCCAGGCCGUCGUCCUCCCGCAUUCGUUGAAGAUAGUGGCCAGAGCCGAGCUUACCUUGCCCAAGCCCUCGGCGGGGGCCGCCAACGGCGGCGAGCAAGGCGGAGGCAUGGGUUUCUUCCCUCUUCCCUUCUUCAUCGUAGCCAUGGCGAUGGGAAGGGGGGGGGGAAGGUUUGAGAUUGGGUUAAAAAUAGAAGCUGGAGUUCGAGAGGAGGAAGGACAGAGGACGCUCGAGCAACAGAAAGGGGAGCGGCUGUGUACGACUAUGAGUCCGCCUAGCAUGGCGCAAAAUAAGGGGGCGUGGGGGAACAGUGCCGCCCACGUCCAAUCAACCGCCACGCGGCGUCCAAGGCCGCAGGCUGUUAGGGCCCGCGGUGCUUCGCUCUUGCCCUUUCGCCUCCCUGCACGGCCAAGUCCGGGCGCGCCUUGGGCCCGGGGACUACUGUCGGCGUUCUGGGAACGGGGGUCCCCAGACUUGCCUGCCUGCGGCCUGCGGCGUGGCUCAAAGGGGGCCAAGCAUGGCCCGUCUUCAUCAACACAGAACCAAGACCCUCGCGAGGGGCCAAGCCUCGCGGGGCGGACGACACGGAGCUUCCUCAGGCACGGCCUCAUCAGGCUAGCUCGCGAGGAGGCGGAGAGAUCAAGGCGGGGUACCUCACGAGGUGCCCGUGACGCAUGCUAUGACGACUAAGGGUGCCAGGCGGGCGCCAGCCCGCGCAGUGUCCUCCUUUCCUCUUUGGUGCAAAGGGAGCAAGCGCAGGCGAGAGCAUCAAGCAAAGGCACCCGUUUCGGUGCAACGAGACCAAGACCGGCCCAACGGCAGGAAGGAAGUCAUUGUGGAGCCCAAGCCAGCGUCACCACCAGAGGCUUUGGCAGGCGAGGACCAAUUUUAGUCAGGAUAAGUGUACCAGAUGUUCCCCUUCAAAAUGGCCAAUUGUUGGCGUCCUUCCCGCUCAAUAUUUGGGAAAAGGCCCAGGGCCUUUGCCUAUAAAUAGGACUAGCCACCCACAGGGUAGAGUAAUCGAAAUCGGAGAGAGAAUCGAGAAGAGAGAGAGAGAGAAGGGUGACUGAACUCCUCCUAGCAGUUCAUCCCCUCAGCCAAGAACAGACCCCCGCGAGGCUGUUUUUCCUUGUAUUGCUCAUCAUCAUCAGCCCAAGAGGCAAUCCACCACACCACACACUGGAGUAGGAUAUUACCCCACAACGGUGGCCCGAACCAGUAUAAACCCUGUGUCUCUUGUGCUGUUCUCUCCAUAGCUUAGAUCUUAGCGAGGCGGAGGGGUGCAGGUAGGUAGAAGGCGAAAUCUCCGCGCGCACCCCAGUGUUCAAACCUCAAGGGUCUGCCGAAACCCGAAAUCUGACAAUCCCUAAUUAGAGCAUUGCUUCUGGUCCCUUGUCUUGGAAUUCAUAAUUCCUUUGCAUGUAAGCUUUGAGUUAGUCGGUUGUUUCUAUAAUACGAUGCACUUACAUUCCUUCUUCCUUUGAUAGAGUACCGAUACUCACAUCAACUCUGUUGUAGACCACCGGACCUCUUGUUGGAUUAUUAUCCAACAGUGUCCUUUAUAUUCAAAUAACCUUGUGAGUCUUUCCACAGAUAUAUAAAGCCUUGGGUAAAUUGUAUCCUCUGUUUUCUCAACCAUGCCCUGCUUUCGAGCUGGUGGUAUUUACUAUUGAAGCUUAUGGUAUAUGUUUCCGCGAUACCCUGACGGGUUGGACAUAUGCCUUUUCUAAUCUGUGUGAACCCGGAAACUACUACGGGUCAUACUCUACUGUUGUUAUGUCAGAUAAAACUUCAACACUACAACUUCGUCGAAGGCGAGAAGUGAAUGAAAGGUUAUGCAUUGAAGAAGUGGGAGUCGAUCUUGAACUUUGUGUUCAUGCCCAUGGACAUGAUGUAGAUCUUAUCAUUAAAGCUUCUCUUAAAUUAAUUAUUCCUUUGGUAUAAGUUCAUCUUAUAUCUGGGAUCUGGCCUUUUGCAAUCGUGGUUCCGACCAUAUUUUCUCUUUGAUCUCAUUUCUCGGACAAGUUAAAGUACUUGUAUUUUGCAAGUCAAUACACCAGUCCAACCUCUACCUUGAUCUACCGUCGAGUAUUACCCUCUGGUAUCUCGAGAAUAUCUAAGAACUGUGUUGCAUAUUAUGAGUCUUCAUCAGCUAUUAUUUCUCACUGGUUCCAAUUUUUCAUGGGUUCUGGGUUGUCGUCAAUCGAGAACAUCGAUAAGUGAAUCGAUUCCGAGCUCCGAUACGAUAACUCUAAGUAAUUUUUGUUGCGUAUGUGUUUAAUAAUCCUUCAAGUCAUUCCUAUCCUGAUUGGCUAUAUCCUUAUCGUGCUAAAUUUUAACUGUGCUACCUGGUCCUUAAUCCCGAAGCACAACUUUCGACGAUGAGCUAAUCUUACGUCGAUCUUCCUCGUCAUAUCAUUUGUCCCUGAACAACAAGCUUGAUUUCGAGUUUGUGUCGUACCCAUGGUUUCAAUAACUUUUCGCUUCAUCAUUCCGUUGACUUGAUGUCAUCGCCGAUCGGUUACAUCUUCUUGAAACCUCUCAACAAAUGUGUCGUGAUCCUCAUUAACAUCCUGAGGUAUUCCAAGAUAUCAAUUGAAUUCAUGAUGAGAAAUAACAUCCUUGCCCUCGAUGAUUGGUGCUAUCAUCGACCACUUUAUUGCCUUCCCUCCAACACAAACUUGUUCGUGGUCUGUGUUAUACCUGGAGACCCGUGCUAUCCAGCAAUUAUUCUUCGUUACCUUGGAGUAUUACCAUCUUUUAUGUCAAGAAUGUCGUGAGAAUUUCACCACCUCCCGAGAAUUCUUGAUAUAGGUAAUACUUAUCACCAUCACCAUUCCUUCUUGGUCCUCGUGUUGUUCCUAACCGGAAUACCGACAAAUGAACUAUGAUGUGUGAAUUCAAAACUUCUGGCAACCCUAUUGCUUUGAACCAAUGUCUGCUCGUGGAUGUUCUCCUCGAGCAUAAAACAUUAUAUCAUUUGAUUUGACAAAUGUUAUCUCCUUGUUCACAUAAGUGUGGAAAUCCAACUUUUGGAAAUCUUGAAGAAUUAUCGCUGAGUUCAUCAGCCACCCCCCUCAUCAUUCCCUUGGGUUAAUGAUGAACUCUUAUUUCGGAACUCGCUCCCAUAGUUCAUUUCCUAAGAAUUUUACAAGGUCAUCUCGACAAUUGUGUUGCACCUUUUCUUCUCAGGCAUCCUGAGUCAGAGGUAUCCUGGCACCAAUCAGAUCUGAAUCUCGGUCAGAUAUGAUGGUUGGGACAUAUUUCCAAGAGUUAUAACACUGGUCCUUAUAUAUCGAUAAGGUGAUGUCAUGCCCAUCACACCUGGCAGGAGGACUUGUGGUUAUAGUUUCCUGUUUAACAAGGUUAACCAUUCUUCCAUGAGGAAAUUGUAACACUUAUUCUAUGGGUUGUUCUUGAUGGAUCCUUUGCGUAUCCAAAGUCUGACCUUUGCUUAAAGACCAUGUCAACGCUAUCUCGAAGCAUGUAGGUGGUACUUCGAUUUUCAGUACGAACAUUUGAAGCACAAUGCUAAAAUUUCUUUACAAAUUACCCCAAGCACCGUUGUAUGGGUAAUGUCAUGAAAAUUCUCUCCCCUACCUAAGGAGUUUUCUACAUUAUAUCGUGUCAUGGAUAUCAUGCUCUGCUUGUCCUUGGGAAUGCUAUACCCUUGAAAUAUGUGUUUAAACACAUUUUCCUUUACAUUGUCUUGUUUAAUCUGAUAAUCUUAUUUUCCUUUCCAUUGGUUGGUUUAACGUUGCUUGUGAUCUAUAUGAUCUAAGCAGUAAUAUUCUCCUGCUUAUGUAAACAUCUCGGUGUACAAUUCUGUCAGCAAGACCCUGUUACUAUUGUAGAUGACAUUCCGGUAGCCACCGAUGGAUGAGAACUUUGCUUAUUGGUCCGCCUCGUUCAAUGAGUAGGAAAAUGGUUCUAUUCGUCCCUCGCCCUUGGUACCGACGUUGUUGCUGACAUAAUCGACAGGCUACCCUCUAACAUGCCUUGCUUGCAUGAUCACGCAAGAUGUCUCCACCCUUCCCACUUUUAACCCACAUGGUGGGCCCAUAACCCACAGUUCCACAGGAUCGAAACCUGACUCUCCGGUACACCCCCUGUUCCCAAGGUUGUUCCUCGCACUUGGCUUCGUAUGUAAUUCACGGAGCACUUGCCUAGUGAUCUAAUCUGGUAUCAGACGCAAUACUUAUUCCCAUUGCCUUGAAACCCUUUCACCUUCUGAUUAGGCAUCGAACGAUUUCAUAUCCGUUUGAAACUUCUCAUGGUACCUUCUUACCUUGCUCUCGAUAUGUUCUUAAGUUUCAAAUCGAGAGAUACUUAUGCUUCUUCCCUGAGUUAACCGUCUGAUGCUCGAUCUUGUUAGAAUCCAUCCUUAUAGAGUUUUCCCUUCUUACCUUUUUGUAAGUACGGUGAAGAUCCAGAAGGAGGGACGACAACUUCACCAUGAUGACCUAGAGCACGGGAAAUGAAAACAUCAACGUAGUGGGUCGACCUACUUGAUAAGACCAACCAAGACCGGGAACACUCUAGAAUUUCGUAACCAGAACCUUCCCCUUUUGCCUCACCUCUUAAAUCUCGGGACGAGAUUUCUUGUAGUGGAGGAGAUUUGUAAUACCCCGAGAAUCAUGCUACAGUAAUCUCCCCCUAAUGGUGGCCAUGUCAUCUUGGUUACUAUGCAAAUGGCCACUUGUCCAGAAUCAAAGUCAAAUUCAAAUUUGAAUUACAAGUGAAAUAAUUAUUUCUUCGAACGGUAAAAAUAAAGUGUUCACAAUAUUCUAUAAAUUCCCCUGAUCUUUGUCAUGUUGAACCAAACAUUAUUUGACCCACCAAUUGGUCCCUAGGGAUUUAUAAAGUGGUUCAACAACAAAUAAAAAUAGCCUUUCAAAAUAAACAAAUAUUUAUACUUUUCCUCGUGACCUCAAACUUUUGAGGCCUCCUCAAUAUAUUUCCUAAUAGUUGUGUACGCACUUUCACAUUUAACCAAAUUCAUCUGCUAGCUAAUGUUAAAAGAAAACAGUAGAGAAAAAUAAAAAAACAGAAAAGUUCCUAAAACUACUAGGCCACUGGGCCAUAAGUGGCCACAGUGCCUCCGGCCCAGCCCACCUCCACCUCCACCUCAUCCCCUCCUCUGUACAGGGAGGCAGGAGACGUGCGUGUCGCACAUCCACGGUCGCCAUGGCCAUGGAUGGCCUCCACGUCGAUCUCCUUGGCUUAUAACCGCACCAUAGCGAACCCUAGCCCGCUCUCCUCCGUUCCCCUCUCAUUCCCCACCGAGCCACCUCCUCUUUUGCUCGGGCGCGAGCUCGAAAGGUCCCGCGGUGACCGUGUGUAACGCCCCGAGACCGUUGCGCCAGGUGUCUUCCAGUUAUUCGUCGUCAUUGCCAUGUCAUUCGGUUGCGUGUGCAUCUUGUCAUUGUAUCAUGUGCAUUGCAUCAUCAUGUUUUCAAAACUUACAUUCGUCCGGGUUAUCCCAGUUCUCCCCGUUGUUCUUUCUGAGCCAAUACCACACUUGCACGCGCCCGUGGCAUGUCCGAAAUAUUAUUUCAUAAGUGGCCAGAAAAUGUUCUCGGAAUGGGUUGAAAGUUGGCUUGCGGUCUUAUUAUAGUGUAGAUAGACCGCCUGUCAAGUUUCAUCACAUUCAGAGUUCGUUUGAUAGCCCAACCGUUAAACUAUAGCGGCAUUAUAGUCGGUCUAACGUCGGACGUUUUCGGUCUCCGGAAACAGUCACCAGGGCUCUUUCUCUUCUCUUCUCUCAGCUCGAGACCGUCUAUGCAGUCUACCUCUCACCGCCAGGCCCUACCUAACCUCUCUCGUCAGUCCGCGGACCUCCUCCCGCGCGCGUCUGAAAUCUAUCCCGGACCCGACCCGGACAGUCGUUACCGCUGUGUCCGGAUCAUCCCCUAACAUCUACAAAAUAUCACCAUUUUCUUAUUUGGACUCCUCUAACCUUUUAUUCUCGAUCGUCCAUUUACGAUUGGAGGGUUCCGUUAGCCCCUAAACUCUCCCUCUUUCCUUAUAUAUAUAUACUCCCUAGUCUAAAUCUAGACCAAACCCUAGAAACUAGGGAUCUUGUCCCAUCCUCCGCCGCCGCCAGCCCACUAUCUCCUCCUCCUUGGGAUCCCCUCCCGAUCCAAGACCACCAACCAUCGCUCUUCUGCUCCUCCUCGAUCAAAGCCCGCACCCGAUCCAAUCCUUUUAGCCUCCACCAACCACCGAUUCCAUCCAACCACCAGCCUCCACCUCCUCCCUUCGAACCAUCCUCGCGCCCGCCUCCAGAUCGAGCAGGAAGCCUGUUCCCGGCCUCUUCCCCAUCACCUACUGUCGUCGCUCGCUGAUCCGGCAGGCCACCGGAGCCAGCCAGCACUGGAUCUCUUCCUCCUGACCUCCUCUUCCCCUGCUUCUUCCUUCUCCUCCCCAUCCCUGUCUUUCUCUCAUGCUCGCUCUCUCCAGUUGCAGGAACGAUGCCAUGGUCGCCGCCUCGAGUACCUGCCACUGCCGGAGUCCCUGGCGCUGUCGUCUCCAUCAGUUCUUGGAAAGGACGGCGCCCCUCCAGUUUGCCGUCGCCGCACCAAGUCCCGCUGCCGCCUUGCAUUUGACCUUCAGCGCCGUUGUUC